rnacentral:misc_RNA from 1 species
AAGUCGUAACAAGGUUUCCGUAGGUGAACCUGCGGAAGGAUCAUUAAAAAAAAAACAUUUAAUGAAUGUCGGGGGGUGGUUGUGCGUUUCGGCGCGCACCCUUCCCGAGCUAUUCAACCAACCCCGCUCGUGUAUUUGAAUCAAACAAACUAAAAAAUAAAACAUUAAAAAAGUGUAAUUAAAGAAAAAAACUUUCAACAACGGAUCUCUUGGCUCUC